UUUUAGCCCCGAUAGUAACGGUUACCCCACAGCAAGCCUUGGAAAUGGCGGCUGUGCGAGGAGUAAUAGUGGAUAGCGGGAUCAAGC
rnacentral:sRNA from 1 species